CGGUCGUUGGUCAGGCGAGGAGGUCGUUCCGAGGAUUGCGAAGACAACAGGCGUUCCCUCACACUCAUGCUCACCGUUUCGCACGCACCUUCCGCCACACCUGUGGGCUGCGUGUGGGUGCCCAUGUUGAGCAGGUCCCCGUCAGUGUCUCCUCUGUUCCCCGUGUUGUUGCCUCUCCAUCGUUCCUUCGAUUCCGCGCGCACGCCGCUCCACCUCUUGCCCCUGUGAGGGUGUAACCCAGCCAUAUAUUGUUGUGUUGUCUAUCCCCUCCCGGAAGAGCGACUGAUUGUCACAUGCUAAAUACGUGAUUCAUAGCUAUCCUUAGACUACUGUACAAUACGCCAGGCAGACCCCCAGCGGGAAACCGUGAAGCAACACCUAACUCCUUGGAGGAGCAGCCUCACUCCAACAUCAUUGCUCCAUAAAUAAAGGAAUUAAGCCCU